rnacentral:rRNA from 1 species
GCCAGCAGCCGCGGUAAUACGUAGGAGGCGAGCGUUAUCCGGAUUUACUGGGCGUAAAGCGCGUGUAGGCGGCUUUUUAAGUUGGCAGUGAAAGAUUCCGGCUCAACUGGGAUUCGCCUGUCAAUACUGGAGAGCUUGAGGGCACCAGAGGAAAGUGGAACUCGCGGUGUAGCGGUGAAAUGUGUAGAUAUCGCGAGGAACACCAGUGGCGAAGGCGGCUUUCUGGGGUGUUCCUGACGCUGAGGCGCGAAAGCGUGGGGAGCGAAGCGGAUUAGAUACCCGCGUAGUCCACGCCCUAAACGGUGAAUACUUGGUAUGGGGGGUAUCGACCCCUUCCCGUGCCAAGCUUACGCUUUUAGUAUUCCGCCUGGGAACCUACGGCCCCAAACUUAAAACUCAAAGAAUUGACGGGGGCC